GGAAAAAUAAGGUAAUUCUUAUUGGAUUAUUACGUUCAAUUUAGGUUUUAGUAAAAAGAGAAACUUCAAUUGGAGUAAUUCAGAGGUGAGCAAAUCAUCGCCGGGAUUCACAGUCGUCGGAGAAUCACCGGAGGAAGAGUCCGGCAACGAUCAACAAUCUCUAAAUGUAUAGAAUUAUAUAAACUCCGACUACAGUAGCUUACCACCGAAAAGUAGAGGAAAACGGCAGAACCGGUUCAAACCGCAGCGGCUAAAGCAAAGCCGAUGAAACUUAGUUACAUCAGUAGAAAGUGGAAGGAGAUUUCAGCUUGAUAUCAAGAGAAUUUGAUCACUGAACCAUUCAAAAAGAUAGAAUGAUGGAGCGGAUUCAAAAACGAUGCGAGAUUUGUGGCAAUAUAUCCUUUAAUGAUGGUGGUGAUGGAUUCUUCUAUUGCACUCUUUGCGGCUCUCAAGCGAUGACAGCAUUGACACUGGUGUUGAUGAUGAUGACCUAUUCAAUCUGGAUGGGGGAAUAUAUGCUGCUAGUCAGCGCCGUGCUCCCACCCAGAUUUGUCAAGCUGAGCCGAUAUCUUAGGUUAAGCUUUCACAAUCCCAGCAUCUAGAAACUUUGAACACUUUAGAUGACAACCAAGAGGAUAAUGAAGGUGAUGGAGUUGAGCCUAACGAACCUGCUGAUUUUGGGUCGUCUCAAAGUUCCUUAACAUAUAUUGAUUAUUAUUUAGGAGUACGAUUAAGGUAUGUUAUGGGGUUACAAGUUAUGAUCCAAUUGCAGUGUAAGGCGCUAGUGGAGAAAUUUAAUGUAAGCCCUCUAAUUGCUGGGGUUGUUGGGCCUGUAUGACUGAGAUAUUUAGCACAUGAAAAGGUUAUGGUGGAUGAGUGGGCAGACAAUGUCAUUCAUGAAUCAGAAUCUCAAACUCGAGGUAUUUGAUUAACUUAUUGUUGAUAUGAAGCAUUGGUCACUUCUCAUUU